rnacentral:rRNA from 1 species
UACAGAGGGGGCAAGCGUUGUUCGGAAUUACUGGGCGUAAAGGGCGCGUAGGCGGUGUGUCAAGUCAGGCGUGAAAGCCCCGGGCUCAACCUGGGAACGGCGCUUGAGACUGGCACGCUCGAGUUCGGGAGAGGAUGGUGGAAUUCCCAGUGUAGAGGUGAAAUUCGUAGAUAUUGGGAAGAACACCGAUGGCGAAGGCAGCCAUCUGGACCGACACUGACGCUGAGGCGCGAAAGCGUGGGGAGCAAACAGG